AGAGUUUGAUUCUGGCUCAGGAUGAACGCUAGCUACAGGCUUAACACAUGCAAGUCGAGGGCAGCAUGGAACUUAGCUUGCUAAGUCUGAUGGCGACCGGCGCACGGGUGAGUAACACGUAUCCAACCUACCGUUUACUACGGGAUAGCCUUCUGAAAAGGAGAUUAAUACCGUAUGGCAUUCUAAGGUUUCAUGACAUUAGAAUUAAAGGUUUACCGGUAAUCGAUGGGGAUGCGUUCCAUUAGAUAGUAGGCGGGUAACGGCCCACCUAGUCAGCGAUGGAUAGGGGUUCUGAGAGGAAGGUCCCCCACAUUGGAACUGAGACACGGUCCAAACUCCUACGGGAGGCAGCAGUGAGGAAUAUUGGUCAAUGGACGAGAGUCUGAACCAGCCAAAGUAGCGUGAAGGAUGACUGCCCUAUGGGUUGUAAACUUCUUUUAUAAAGGAAUAAAGUGGUCCACGUGUGGAUUUUUGUAUGUACUUUAUGAAUAAGGAUCGGCUAACUCCGUGCCAGCCGCCGC
rnacentral:rRNA from 1 species